rnacentral:rRNA from 1 species
UGGGGAAUUUUGCACAAUGGGGGAAACCCUGAUGCAGCGACGCCGCGUGAUUUAGAAGGCCUUCGGGUUGUAAAAAUCUUUUGUAUGGGAAGAAAAUGACAGUACCAUACGAAUAAGGACCGGCUAAUUACGUGCCAGCAGCCGCGGUAAUACGUAAGGUCCGAGCGUUGUCCGGAAUCAUUGGGCGUAAAGGGUACGUAGGCGGAUAAGCAAGUUAGAAGUGAAGUCCUAUAGCUCAACUAUAGUAAGCGUUUAAAACUGCUCAUCUUGAGGUAUGGAAGGGAAAGUGGAAUUCCUAGUGUAGCGGUGAAAUGCGCAGAUAUUAGGAGGAAUACCGGUGGCGAAGGAGACUUUCUGGCCAUAUACUGACGCUGAGGUACGAAAGCGUGGGUAGCAAACAGG